AAGCAGUGGAAUCAAAGCAACAUUAAAUUCUAGGCCAUUGACUUACACGUACGACGAGAUGGGUAGUGAACAACUAACUCCGUCGCAUUUGGUGACGG